AUUCACUACCACAACAGGAAGGCUAAUUCACUAUCACAACUGGAAGGCUAAUUCACUAUCACAACAGGAAGGCUAAUUCACUAUCACAACAGGAAGGCUAAUUCACUACCACAACGGUAAGGCUAAUUCACUACCACAACUGGAAGGCUAAUUCACUACCACAACGGGAAGGCUAAUUCACUACCACAACAGGAAGGCUAAUUCACUACCACAACGGGAAGGCUAAUUCACUAACACAACGGGAAGGCUAAUUCACUAACACAACAGGAAGGCUAAUUCACUAUCACAACUGGAAGGCUAAUUCACCAUCACAACAGGAAGGCUAAUUCACUAACACAACAGGAAGGCUAAUUCACUACCACAACAGGAAGGCUAAUUCACUAUCACAACGGGAAGGCUAAUUCACUAUCACAACAGGAAGGCUAAUUCACUAUCACAACAGGAAGGCUAAUUCACUACCACAACGGGAAGGCUAAUUCACUACCACAACGGGAAGGCUAAUUCACUAACACAACGGGAAGGCUAAUUCACUACCACAACUGGAAGGCUAAUUCACUAACACAACGGGAAGGCUAAUUCACUAUCACAACGGGAAGGCUAAUUCACUACCACAACGGGAAGGCUAAUUCACUACCACAACAGGAAGGCUAAUUCACUAACACAACAGGAAGGCUAAUUCACUACCACAACGGGAAGGCUAAUUC
rnacentral:lncRNA from 1 species